AUUGAACGCUGGCGGCAUGCUUUACACAUGCAAGUCGAACGGUAACAGGCCGCAAGGUGCUGACGAGUGGCGCACGGGUGAGUAAUGCAUCGGAACGUGCCCAGUCGUGGGGGAUAACUACUCGAAAGAGUAGCUAAUACCGCAUACGAUCUAUGGAUGAAAGCGGGGGACCGUAAGGCCUCGCGCGAUUGGAGCGGCCGAUGUCAGAUUAGGUAGUUGGUGGGGUAAAGGCUCACCAAGCCAACGAUCUGUAGCUGGUCUGAGAGGACGACCAGCCACACUGGGACUGAGACACGGCCCAGACUCCUACGGGAGGCAGCAGUGGGGAAUUUUGGACAAAGGGUGCAAGCCUGAUCCAGCAAUGCCGCGUGCAGGAAGAAGGCCUUCGGGUUGUAAAAUGCUUUUGUACGGAACGAAACGGCUCUGGUUAAUACCCGGGGCUAAUGACGGUACCGUAAGAAUAAGCACCGGCUAACUACGUG
rnacentral:rRNA from 1 species